rnacentral:rRNA from 1 species
AUUUUAAGUAACACCUGCUCAAUGAUCUUUAAAUAGCCGCGGAAUUUUUACCGUGCUAAGGUAGCAUAAUCAUUAGCCUCUUAAUUAGAGGCUCGUAUGAAAGGUGAAACAUUUCAAUUUCUUUUUUGACUAUUGUUUUUCUAAAUUUAAUUAAGAAUAAAAAUGUUCUUAUUUUUAAAAAAGACGAUAAGACCCUAUUGAACUUUACUGAAGUUUAGCUGGGGCAGCUAUUUAAUAAUCAUCUUAUUUUAAAAAUUGUUCUUUGAAUGACCCAAUUUUAUUGAUUAUAUGAACAAGUUACCAUAGGGAUAACAGCGUAAUAUCUUUUUAAAGUUCUUAUUAAAAAAGAUGAUUGCGACCUCGAUGUUGAAUUAAUGUUACUUUACUAAUGCAGCAAUUUUAAAAGUAGGUCUGUUCGACCUUUAAUACAUUACGUGAUC